GGGGGCCGAAUACUUUCGCAAGGCACUGUAUCUCAUCAGGUGACAGGUCUAAACUCAAUGUGCAGUUCUUGCCUUAUUUAAAUUGGUGUCAUCUGCUGUAAAUAGCAUUUCAAUGGAAGGACAAGUGACUUUUGAUUGUGCCAGUAAAUACAAAGUCAGACUAUGUCAAUGACUGUAGUAGCUUUUUACCAAAAUUAAAAUACAAAAUAUACUUGAUGUUGAACUUAAUGGGGUGUAAACUGGUGUUUUCCUCUACCAAUGCCAUGCAUGUUAAACAAAUUACUUUACCAACAGAUGGGACUAAUUAAAGGAAGAACUGGAAUAAAAUUGUGGAGAAAUAUCAAAUGCAGAAGCCUCCGUGCAAAGACUCACUACAGUUGUAUCUCUUGCAAAAGAGAUUUCUCACUGAAAUUACCUGAAGGUGGUAUAUGAAAUUAGGGGAUAUCAUGGAGGAAUGGUGUUUAUCCCUCCAAUAGAGUUCCACAGAUAUGGCAAGGAGCACUGAAGCUGUUUGAGGCUGGUGGUGACAUAACUCCUUACUGUGUUUCUUAACUGUGUCACCUUUGUGCAUAUGUACGUGUAAAAUAUUUGGUCAUUGUUGAUAAAAUGAAAACCAGAAAGUAAAUAAUCAUUCCAUACUAA